GGCAAUGUAGCUUAGUAGUAGAGUACUUGCCUAGAAUGUAGGAAGCACUGGGUUCAACCCUCAGCACUGCAA
rnacentral:tRNA from 1 species